rnacentral:rRNA from 1 species
AGGGAAUCUUCCGCAAUGGACGAAAGUCUGACGGAGCAACGCCGCGUGAGUGAUGAAGGUUUCCGGAUCGUAAAACUCUGUUGUUAGGGAAGAACAAGUACCGUUCGAAUAGGGCGGCACCUUGACGGUACCUAACCAGAAAGCCACGGCUAACUACGUGCCAGCAGCCGCGGUAAUACGUAGGUGGCAAGCGUUGUCCGGAAUUAUUGGGCGUAAAGCGCGCGCAGGCGGUUUCUUAAGUCUGAUGUGAAAGCCCCCGGCUCAACCGGGGAGGGUCAUUGGAAACUGGGGAACUUGAGUGCAGAAGAGGAGAGUGGAAUUCCACGUGUAGCGGUGAAAUGCGUAGAGAUGUGGAGGAACACCAGUGGCGAAGGCGGCUCUCAGGUCUGUAACUGACGCUGAGGCGCGAAAGCGUGGGGAGCAAAC